rnacentral:tRNA from 1 species
UCACGGGUGGUUCAAUGGUAGAAUCUCACCUGCCACCUGGGAGGCCUCAGGUUCGAUUCCUGAACUGUGCA